UAGCCGGUGGAAGUCCGGUCGGGGUAAGAGCCAAGUGGCCUCGUAGCUGACGGGCAUCUGGUGGAGAGAUCCUAGGGAUGAAGCCCCGUGACAAAGUAACUCUAUCAGGAGUGCGAGCAAAUCAGCAGGCCGUAACAUGA
rnacentral:ncRNA from 1 species